GCUGUGCUAGUGGGUGCUGUGCUGUUCCUGGGCCCUCCCCCAACCUAGGUUAAGAUACAAACCUGAGCUCAGAGACCUGGGACCCUGGUUUGCACUGGAACUAUGAGAUCACUAACAAGAAUCACUAUUCUCCUAACUUUAGGUAUUAUGAGCGAUGCUGACACCACACAGCCAAAUGCAAUGGAGAGUACUGAAGGAGAGCCUGUCCACCUGCCCUGUAACCACUCCACAAUCAGCGGAAAUGAGUACAUAUAUUGGUAUCGGCAGAUUCCUAACCAGGGUCCGGAGUACAUGAUUCGUGGUCUAAAAGACAAUGUGACUGAAGGAAUAGCCACUCUGAUCAUCACAAGAGCUAGGAAGUCCAGUACUUUGAUUCUGCCCCGGGUUACCCUGGGAGAUGCUGCUGUGUAUUACUGCCUCCUGAGAGAGGCACACUAAGAUAG